UCGGGAAGUAGCUCAGUUUGGUAGAGCGCCACGUUCGGGACGUGGAGGUCGCAGGUUCGAAUCCUGUUUUCCCGAU
rnacentral:tRNA from 2 species